CCCGUUUUACCCUUGGAAGGAGACCCUUAUGUUUAAUAACAAAGAAGAAUCUAUCUCCAAACCAAGAACUAACCAUCCAUUGCAGCAAGCAAGAAGCUCUUCCUGAAAUUGGUAAAUGACUUCCACACCGGUAUCAGUUUAUUUUCUGAUACUUUUAUUUGCUUGCUUGAAUCCCCUAGCCAUGGCUGUAGAUGAAAACGAGUUCAUGUACAAAGGCUUCAAUGGAGCCAACAUUAGCCUUGAAGGGGUUGCAAAAAUCCAUUCCAAUGGUCUUUUGCAGCUAACCAAUUUUUCAGAGCAUCAAAUCGGUCGUGCUUUCUACAAGCAUCCUAUAAGAUUCAAUACAUCUUCGUCCACCUUACCGCAAGCUCUUUCAUUUUCCACCCAUUUUGUGUUUGCCAUUGUUCCUGAGAAAACAAAACAGAGUUCUGAUGGAAUGGCCUUCACCAUCUCACCAUCUAUGCAUUUCAACCAAGCCGUAGGAAACCAGUAUUUUGGGCUCCUCAAUUCUUCUGACAAUGGGAACCCUUCCAACCAUUUGUUGGCAAUUGAGCUUGAUACCCAAAUGAAUCCUGAAUUCAAUGAUAUAAGCGAUAACCAUGUUGGAAUUGAUGUUAACAGCUUAUUAUCAAAUGUAUCUGCUAACGUCACAUAUUACUCCAAUAGGGAACGGAUUAAUCGGAGCUUGGAGCUUGUAAGUGGGAGUCCAUUGCAAGUUUGGAUAGAGUAUGAUGGGUUUGAGAAUGCACUCAAUGUAACACUAGCUCCUAUUAAAAGCCCCAAACCAGAUCAGUCUCUCAUGUCAACACGCAUCAACCUUUCUUCAAUUCUGUUGGAUUCAAUGUAUGUUGGUUUCUCUGCAGCUACAGGACCAAUUUUAGGGAACCACUAUAUUCUUGGUUGGAGUUUCAAUAGAAGUGGGAAAGCACAGGGCCUAGAUAUUUCAGAGCUGCCUUCACUUCCUCAUCAAAGAAAACCAAGGCUGAAAAGUAGUCUAGAAAUUACAGUGUCAGUGACAACAGUAUUCUUUGGGCUGACUAUCAUAAUUGCAGGGACAUUUUAUAUGUGGAGGAGGAAAAAGUACGAAGAAAUACGUGAAGAUUGGGAAAGGGAAUAUGGCCCUCAUAGGUUUUCCUAUAAGGAUCUCUUCAAAGCUACCAGAGGUUUCAUAGAUGAAGAACUUCUUGGAGCAGGAGGUUUUGGUAAGGUUUAUAGAGGAGUACUUCCCUCUUCGAAGGAACAAGUUGCAGUCAAGAAAGUUUCCCAUGAUUCAAAACAAGGGAUGAAGGAGUUUGUGGCUGAAAUUGUUAGCAUGGGAAGGCUAAGGCACCGGAACUUGGUGCAGCUCCUUGGCUAUAGCCGGCGGAAGGGAGAGCUGCUCUUGGUCUAUGAUUAUAUGCCAAACGGAAGCCUUGACAAGUUCCUAUUUAGUAAUGAAAAGCCAGUCCUCGACUGGCCACAACGUUUUCGUAUUAUUAGAGGAGUAGCAUCCGCCCUUUUGUAUUUGCAUGAAGAAUGGGAACAAGUUGUUCUUCACAGAGACGUGAAGGCUAGUAAUGUUCUAUUGGAUGAUGAUCUAAACGGAAGGCUAGGGGAUUUUGGUCUUGCUAGAUUACACAAUCAUGGAGCAAACCUCGAAACUACCCGUGUGGUGGGGACAAUUGGGUACCUUGCACCAGAGCUUUCUAGAACCGGAAAGGCGACCACGAGCACUGAUGUGUUUUCUUUCGGUGCAUUCAUACUCGAAAUAGCUUGCGGAAGGAGGCCCAUAGAGCUACAACAGUCGCCUGACGCGGUGGUUUUGGUUGAUUGGGUUUUCAAGAAAUGGAAAGCGGGAGCGAUUCUCGAGACUAGUGAUCCUAGAUUGGGAGGAGAUUAUUUGGAGGAGGCAAUGGUGUUGGUUUUGAAACUAGGCCUGCUUUGCACAAAGUCCGAUGCAGCGACAAGACCCAGCAUGCGGCAAGUGAUGCAAUACCUUGAUGGAGAUGUUCUGUUGCCGGAGAUAAUUCAUGACAGCACAAGUAUUGGUACAAUAGGUCCAGGAAAAUAUGAGAAUAAUAACUUUUACAGCUGUUGAAAUUACAAGUAUCGAACGGUCCGGAAAUAGAGUACAUUGUUGGCAUUGGAGCUUGACGUAUAUAAUUUCAAGGCAAAUGAUGGUCGAAAUAGUUCCAAGUCAUGGGGCCAGCUUACCCGUUGCCUUUAUUCACUAUGGCCAAUUGGAUUUUAUAAGAAGUGUUAUAAGGAUCAGAGGCCAAGGAAAAUUGGAGCCUGAUUAGGCAAUCUAAGUCAUUGCCUUAAAUAUAGGAUUUGAUUAGGGAAGGGAAUUCCAUUUGCAUGAGAAUUCUCGGCAGCCUAUUUAAAGAAGGCAACAGAGUCUUUUGGAGGGGGGAGUUUAGCGAGAGCAGAGCACCACGCAGCAGCAGCAGCAGCUUCAUCAUCUCAGAGAUCUCGAGUGAGCACGGCUCGGAGAGAGAAAAAAUAGAGGAGCAAAAGAAAUUAUUGAUAACAUUGAGGAGACAUGUAGAAUGACCUGUUGCCUACUAUGCAAAACUCUCGACAGUGAAGUCAUUAUCAUCCAGUCCAAACUUCAUUUUCUUUAGCUGACCUAGUGCCCUCUAUGGAAUGGUGUUGACUCCUCAAAUGCCCGUUUUACCCUUGGAGGGAGACCCUGAUGUUUAGUGACAAAGAAGAAUCUAGCUUAAAAACAUCCAUUGCUGCAAGCAAGAAGCCCUUCCAUACAAGUUACAAGUAUCACAAUAUUUUCUGAUACUUCUUUUUUUUUUUUUUUUUGGCUUGAAUCUCCUAGCCAUGGCUGAAGAUGAAAACCAGUUUGUGUAUAAUGGCUUCGAUGUAGCCCAUAUAAAGCUUGAUGGGGCAAAAACCCAUUCCAA